rnacentral:rRNA from 1 species
UACGUAGGGGGGCUAGCGUUGUCCGGAAUCAUUGGGCGUAAAGAGCGUGUAGGCGGCCCGGUAAGUCCGCUGUAAAAAGUCAAAGGCUCAACCUUUGAAUGUCAGUGGAUACUGCCGGGCUAGAGUCCGGAAGAGGCGAGUGGAACUCCUGGUGUAGCGGUGGAAUGCGCAGAUAUCAGGAAGAACACCAACGGCGAAGGCAGCUCGCUGGGACGGUACUGACGCUGAGACGCGAAAGCGUGGGGAGCGAACAGG